rnacentral:rRNA from 1 species
AGACGUCAAUCAUCAUGCCCCUUAUGUCCUGGGCCACACACGUACUACAAUGGUGGUUAACAGAGGGAGGCAAUACCGCGAGGUGGAGCAAAUCCCUAAAAGCCAUCCCAGUUCGGAUUGCAGGCUGAAACCCGCCUGUAUGAAGUUGGAAUCGCUAGUAAUCGCGGAUCAGCAUGCCGCGGUGAAUACGUUCCCGGGCCUUGUACACACCGCCCGUCACACCAUGAGAGUCGGGAACACCCGAAGUCCGUAGCCUAACCGCAAGGAGGGCGCGGCCGAAGGUGGGUUCGAUAAUUGGGGUGAAGUCGUAACAAGGGUAACCGUAA